AGCGUAGGUGGCAAGCGUUAUCCGGAAUUAUUGGGCGUAAAGAGCUCGUAGGCGGCUUGUCGCGUCGACUGUGAAAUCCCGCGGCUCAACUGCGGGUCUGCAGUCGAUACGGGCAGGCUAGAGUUCGGUAGGGGAGACUGGAAUUCCUGGUGUAGCGGUGAAAUGCGCAGAUAUCAGGAGGAACACCGGUGGCGAAGGCGGGUCUCUGGGCCGAUACUGACGCUGAGGAGCGAAAGCGUGGGGAGCGAACAGG
rnacentral:rRNA from 1 species